rnacentral:rRNA from 1 species
UGUGGUUUAAUUCGAAGCAACGCGCAGAACCUCACCAGCGUUUGACAUCCCGCGCUAUCACCAGAGAUGGUGAGUUCCCUUGGGGGACGCGGUGACAGGUGCUGCAUGGCUGUCGUCAGCUCGUGUCGUGAGAUGUUGGGUUAACUCCCGCAACGAGCGCAACCUUCGUCUUUAGUUGCCAUCAUUAAGUUGGGCACUCUAAGGAAACCGCCGGUGAUAAGCGGGAGGAAGGUGGGGAUGACGUCAAGUCCUCAUGGCCUUUACACGCUGGGCUACACACGUGCUACAAGGGCGGUGACAGUGGGCAGCGACCUCGCGAGGGGUAGCUAAUCUCCAAAAGCCGUCUCAGUUCGGAUUGUUCUCUGCAACUCGAGAGCAUGA